UACGAAGGGUGCAAGCGUUAAUCGGAAUUACUGGGCGUAAAGCGUGCGUAGGCGGUUCGUUAAGUCUGCCGUGAAAUCCCCGGCUUAACCUGGGAAUUGCGAUGGAGACUGCAAGGCUAGAAUCUGGCAGAGGGGGGUAGAAUUCCACGUGUAGCAGUGAAAUGCGUAGAGAUGUGGAGGAACACCGAUGGCGAAGGCAGCCCCCUGGGUCAAGAUUGACGCUCAUGCACGAAAGCGUGGGGAGCAAACAGG
rnacentral:rRNA from 1 species